rnacentral:rRNA from 1 species
UACGAAGGGGGCUAGCGUUGCUCGGAAUUACUGGGCGUAAAGGGAGCGUAGGCGGAUAUUUAAGUCGGGGGUGAAAGCCCAGGGCUCAACCCUGGAACUGCCUUCGAUACUGGAUAUCUAGAGUAUGGGAGAGGUGUGUGGAACUCCGAGUGUAGAGGUGAAAUUCGUAGAUAUUCGCAAGAACACCAGUGGCGAAGGCGGCUCACUGGCCCGGUACUGACGCUGAGGGGCGAAAGCGGUGGGGA